rnacentral:lncRNA from 1 species
UCUACCUUCUCGUCGAUGACUAGCUCGAUGCUGCAGUUGUGUGUCUAGUUCUUUGAUCUGAGGUGCAUCGAUGGUUCAUCUUGAGUGUGUUAUAGUUUGACUACAUCAUAACUCGGUCUCCUAGCCAUUCGGAACCCUGAGGUGUAUAUUGGCUGUAGCAUAUCCAUUGUAGGAACCAGAUUGCACCAAGAUGGGAUCUAUUAACCUCG